rnacentral:tRNA from 1 species
GGGUCGGUGGUCUAGCUAUUCCGUUAGUCUCAUCCUAUCGGAACUAGUGUGGCUUGAUUCCUGGUUUGGGUCCAGGCGUGCGUGAGUUCGAAUCUCACCCGGCCCACCA